AGCGGCGCGCUUAAUGCAUGCAAGUCGAGCGAUGAGGCCCUCUUCGGGGGGUACAUCAGCGGCAGACGGGUGAGUAACACGUAGGUGAUCUACCCCAGAGACGGGGAUAACGGGUGGAAACAUCCGCUAAUACCGGAUAGACUUGUUCGGUCAAAGGGACAAGGAAAGGCUCCGGCGCUCUGGGAGGAGCCUGCGGCCCAUCAGCUAGUUGGCGGGGUAACGGCCCACCAAGGCAAAGACGGGUAGGGGGUGUGAGAGCAUGGCCCCCCACAAUGGGACUGGAACACGGCCCAUACUCCUACGGGAGGCAGCAGCAGGGAAUAUUGCACAAUGGACGGAAGUCUGAUGCAGCGACGCCGCGUGGAUGAAGAAGGCCCUCGGGUUGUAAAACCCUUUACAGGGGGAAGAGGAAGGACGGUACCCCUGGAACAAGUGUCGGCUAACUACGUGCCAGCAGCCGCGGUAAGACGUAGGACACAAGCGUUAUCCGGAUUUACUGGGCGUAAAGCGUCUGCAGGCGGACAGGUAAGUUGGGCGUGAAAGCUCCGGGCCCAACCCGGAGAGGUCGUUCAAUACUGCGUGUCUAGAGGGUGUCAGAGGGGAGUGGAAUUUCCGGAGUAGCGGUAAAAUGCGCAGAGAUCGGAAAGAACACCAAUGGCGAAGGCAGGUCCCUGGGGCAAACCUGACGCUAAGAGACGAAAGCUAGGGGAGCGAACAGGAUUAGAGACCCUGGUAGUCCUAGCCCUAAACGAUGGAUGCUGGAUGUGG
rnacentral:rRNA from 1 species